rnacentral:rRNA from 1 species
UGCCAGCCGCCGCGGUAAUACGGAGGGGGUUAGCGUUGUUCGGAAUUACUGGGCGUAAGGCGCGCGUAGGCGGACUAGUAAGUCAGAGGUGAAAUCCCAGGGCUCAACCCUGGAACUGCCUUUAAAACUGUUAGUCUUGAGAUCGAGAGAGGUGAGUGGAAUUCCAAGUGUAGAGGUGAAAUUCGUAGAUAUUUGGAGGAACACCAGUGGCGAAGGCGGCUCACUGGCGCGAUACUGACGCUGAGGUACGAAAGCGUGGGUAGCGAACAGGAUUAGAUA